AGAGACUGCAAGCGUUACUCGGAUUCACUGGGCGUAAAGGGAGCGCAGGCGGAAUCGUGUGUCGGAUGUGAAACCCGGGGGCUCAACUCCCGGACUGCGUCUGAAACUGCGAUUCUAGGGACUCGGAGGGGCUAGUGGAAUUCUUGGUGGAGCAGUGAAAUGCGUAGAUAUCAAGAGGAACACCAACGGCGAAGGCAGCUAGCUGGACGAGAUCCGACGCUCAGGCUCGAAAGUAUGGGGAGCAAAAAGGAUUAGAUACCCUUGUAGUCCAUACUGUAAACGAUGUCGACUAGGUCUUGGGGCAUUCGAACGCCCCAGGGCUCAAGCUAACGCAAUAAGUCGACCGCCUGAGGACUACGGCCGCAAGGCUA
rnacentral:rRNA from 1 species